UAAUGGCAUUUGAUAAGAAUUUCAUACUUUUAUAAUAAUAUUUAAUCUCAUACAGAGAGAGGAGGCAGCCGGCUGGCCACCCCUCGUUCAUGAUACAACAACAAUUACUGUAUCCCUUACACGUCCACAUGUUAACUUUGUUUCAAAUGCAACACAAGGCAUGUUAUAGGGAGUGGCCAAGCUUCAAGCAAAAGAAAUUUUAAGGGGAAAAAAUGGAAGAAGGGUCUCUUAGGACUUUCAAUUUUCUUGUUCUGAAAUCUUAGUUAAGUAUGUGCACGCCUGUGUAUGACUUAAAGAGUUCUUUCCAGUCAAAAUAUCCAACCACUAAUUGCAGCUCUACCACAAUCUCUAUAUUACCAACAUUAUGAAUUUGAGUACAAGGAAUGGUAUAUCAGAGAUCUUGCAGAGCCUUUCUUGUUAAUGAUACACUCAGUUAUAUAGUCUUACUGCCAUUGUUGAUGAUGCACUAAAAGGUACAUUUAUGCUACUUGCAAAGCUUCGUCACGCUUGAUGUCGAACACCUUGACAAGGACAUCUUCAACAACCUUAUCAGGAGUAGAGGCACCAGAUGUUAUGCCAAUUGUAAUGGGACCUUCUGGUAGGAAGUUCUCCUUCUCAACCAACUCCCCGUGAUUCAACUUAUAAGCUAUUUUGUUUCCUGGACCAAUCCUCUGUUCACUGUCAAUCCAAUAUGAAGGAAUUCCACGAAGCUCAGCAAUUUCUUGGAGGUGUGAGGUGUUGCUUGAGUUCCAGCCACCAACUACUAAAAUAAGAUCCAACUUCUCCUCCACCAACUUAAACAUAGCAUCUUGUCGUUCCUGCGAAAUAAGCAAAGGAAGGUUGCAUUUAGCAAUAAAGCAACUUCAUUCUAGCUAAUUUCCAAAUUGGAUUUAUAUGAAUGUGUGCACAUUCCAGGUUACAGGCUACCAUAGGUCAUCCAUUUUUGUCUUCCAUCCCUUUGAGAAGGAAAAAGCUCAAGUUUCGAUGCGAGGAGAGUGAGGUAACUAACUUGUAGAAUUUUGAAUUAAAAGAAAAAGGGAAAAAAAAUCUGCCUUUUGUGUUCCGUAAAUAUAAAAAUAAAAAAAGAUUAGGUAAGGAUGUUAAAUUUUCUUUAAAAAUAAUAUUUUUCCUACAAUUCUAAUGAAAAAUACAUGCAAAACGACGAUAGCAGACGAGAAUUACUUGAGUAGCAUCACAAAUGGUGUUAAAGCUGAUAAAGUGGUCAUUAACAUUUUCCACUCCAUAUUUACGCAUCAUGGUCUUCUCCACCAAUUUCCCAAUCUCUUCUGUUUCUCCCUUAAGCAUUGUGGUUUGAUUUGCAAUACCAACCUUAUCCAGGUCAACAUCUGGAUCAAAUCCCUUAGAAACUGCAUAUUUAAAUUUCUCUAGAAAUGCCUCUUUUGUUGAGCUAGAUCCAUUAAGUUGACCACCAAGAAUGUAAUCACACACAUACAUUGCCUCUUCCAUAUUCUUCACAAUGAUAUGCUUUCCAGCAAAAGAGGCAGUAGCUAUGGUUUCCUCAUGAGAAUAUUUACCGUGAAUGAUUGAAGUGUACUCUCCCUUCUUGUGCUUCUCAACAGUAUUCCAAACCUUGGAUACCCAAGGGCAAGUUGUGUCAACAAUUUGCACAUUUUUGUUGCUCAAGGUCAACAUCUCCUCCACAGCAGCCCCAAAAGCAGGCAAAAUCACAACAUCACCACUGUCCACAACUUCAAAGUGUUUCUUUCCUUCGCCAACAGGAAUAUUUUGGACAUUCAUCUCUUCUAAACGCUUAUUAACAGUUGGGUUGUGAAUAAUCUCAUUGGUAAUCCAAAUCUUCUCGUCAGGAAACUGUUUCCGGGCUUCAUAAGCAAUCUGGACAGCCCGCUCAACUCCCCAGCAAAACCCAUAAGCUUCUGCCAGUUUAAUGGUAACAUUUCCCCAUGUGUACUGAUUGCCAUUUUCCUUCAAAGUCUUUAUGAUAUCACUGGUAUACUCUUGGUUCAUGAGCUCAAGAGUCUCUUCCUUGUGUCCAAAACCUCUCCGAUUAUAAUUCUUGCUUCGCGUCAAGUUAUGUCUAAAAACCUUAGCGUCAAAAUCGGAUUCCACAGCGACAGAACCAGCAGAUGACUCAUCGCCACCAGCAGCGCAUCGAACAGAUAGAAACCUCCUGCGAUUAAGAGGAGCAAGAUUCUCACGGGAGAAGAGUUCGCUACGGAGGGAGACGCGGCAGAGUUGCAGAGAGACAGCCAUGGCAGAGAGAGAAAAGCUAAAGUGUGGAGCUAGCAGAAGCAGUG
rnacentral:misc_RNA from 1 species